rnacentral:lncRNA from 10 species
UCUGGCACUCCCUAGUGAGAUGAACCCGGUACCUCAGAUGGAAAUGCAGAAAUCACCGUCUUCUGCGUCGCUCACGCUGGGAGCUGUAGACCGGAGCUCGAGAACUACUUUUUAAUUAGGGCUUGGGAUUAGCCAUUGCCAUAGAAUGGAGUGAAUAACAGAGAAGAGAAACUGUGACUAAUUUAAGAGUGAUAAUCAUACAAUUGCAAUUUGGAGAAGAUUGACCUGAAAGAACUGCAGAGGAAGCAUGCUCUUUGUGUAAGAAAUCCUUAAAUUCCACACAAAAUCUAUAUAGUCUUCCUGGACAUGAUGCAUAAGGAAAUCCUAAGACUGCAUGCCGAGUUUAACCAAUUAAACUGGAAUAAACUGGAAUGAAUUUGCAUUUGGGAAGUAAAACACUAUCCAAGGGGCAUAAGAACAGCUGGGCUCCUACUGAAGGAGACACAUAUGGUGUUCAUUGUGGGGUUUUGCUUCUUAUUCCCUUUGAGUAAGAAUAAAAUGAUCUUAUUUUUUGCUCUUCAAAAAUCUUCUCUGGUUAUUUUUCUGGUGUCAUUGGCUGGCAUAUUCCGAUCCAUAGGAAGAAGAAGGGAGCAGAGAUGAAGUCUUCCUCUCCUACUGCCUCUGGGCAGAGGUGAAGAACUUUUGAAGGCAUGCACCAUGGGGUUAUGAGACCCACUCAGCUAGACAUAUGUUUUGGAAGAUAUGUGUGUUACAGCAGCUUCUUAGGACCCUGUGGAAUGGGAAAAGCAUCACCACUUCUUUACUCUGACUCCUGGAACCUCAGGACACUCUGGUCUGCCUCAUGCAAGCUGUCUACUCAGACCUUCUUAUCUCCAUGAGGACUGUGAACUCGGAGUGGGAAAAGGGAUCUGUAAACCAGAGGUCUCCUCCGCUCCAGGAGCUCUCAGUCUUCUGAAGGACAAAUGUCAUGACCACAUCGGCAUGAAAGGUGGAUGAGACUGAGAAGUACAUCAGAGACACUUAAUCAGGAUGGUGAAAGAAGAGAAUGAUUGGAAUUGGAGCAGAAACACCUCACCCCCUGCUCUCCUGGCCAGCCGGUGGGGAGCAGGGGCAGGGAGCAGAGAUUGGUGGUGGAGCCAUUUUGAAAACAUAACUGUUUUCAAACAGUUCAAACAUGAAAUGUAUGACUACAAACUGAGAGGAAGUACACGCUUUCACACCUGGCACCAACGUACAGGUAUAUGAACAUACUGUGCAUUAUUUACAUUGCAUUUUUCCAAGAAAACAAACAAUAACCACAAAAACCUGAAGGAAUAAUUAGCAAAAACAAAAGUGUGUGUAUGUGUGUGGAGAGGGAUGGGUCAUUGUCAUUUGGAAAAAUCUUAGUGCGUUUCUUAUGUAUACCCAUUUGUGAGCAUUCUUUAGCUUAUCUACAUUAAAUCAACUUGGGCUUCAUCAACUCUGCUGGAAAAAGAAGAUGAAACACACCUUGUGACCACCAGCAAGGGCUCUAGGGGGGACAGAUUUUUUAACUACAUCAUUAAUUUCCAAAGACACAGCCAUUGUUCUUGAACUCACCAAACAUAAAAAUGCACUAGAGAAAAGGUAAUUUCAAGUGCUAAUAAAAAGAAAACAAAAGGUUUCAUUCAC